rnacentral:rRNA from 1 species
CAGUAGCCACGGGAAUACGAGGGGGGCAAGCGUUGUUCGGAAUUAAUGGGCGUAAAGGGUGCGUAGGCGGCUUGACAAGUCUUGUGUGAAAUCUAUGGGCUCAACCCAUAGUCUGCACGGGAAACUGUCGGGCUUGAGAAUGGGAGAGGUGAGUGGAAUUUCCGGUGUAGCGGUGAAAUGCGUAGAUAUCGGAAGGAACACCUGUGGCGAAAGCGGCUCACUGGACCAUUUCUGACGCUGAUGCACGAAAGCUAGGGGAGCAAACAGGAUUAGAUACCCCUGUAGUCCCUGUCUCUUAUAC